rnacentral:rRNA from 1 species
AUACGGAGGGUGCAAGCGUUGUUCGGAAUUAUUGGGCGUAAAGAGCAUGUAGGCGGACUGUUAAGUCUGGUGUGAAAGCCCGGGGCUCAACCCCGGAAGUGCAUUGGAUACUGGCAGUCCUGAGUAUGGGAGAGGAAAGUGGAAUUCCGAGUGUAGGAGUGAAAUCCGUAGAUAUUCGGAGGAACACCAGUGGCGAAGGCGGCUUUCUGGACCAAUACUGACGCUGAGAUGCGAAAGCGUGGGGAGCGAACAGGAUUAGAAACCCCAGUAGUCC